rnacentral:rRNA from 1 species
CCUACGGGAGACAGCAGUGAGGAAUAUUGGUCAAUGGGCGAGAGCCUGAACCAGCCAAGUCGCGUGAGGGAGUACUGCCCUCUGGGUUGUAAACCUCUUUUGUCGGGGAGCAAAAGCCGGACGUGUCCGGCUGUGAGAGUACCCGAAGCAAAAGAAUCGGCUAACUCCGUGCCAGCAGCCGCGGUACUACGGAGGAUGCGGGCGUUAUCAGGCUUUAGUGGGUUUAAGGGGUGCGCAGGCGGAUUUGUAAGUCAGCGGGAACAUCGUGGGGCUAAACCCCAUCCAGCAGUUGAAACUGGGGAGCUAGAGUGUGAGAGAGGGAGGCGGAAUGCGUGGUGUAGCGGUGAAAUGCAUAGAUAUCACGCAGAACCCCGAUUGCGAAGGCAGCAUACCGGUGCACAACUGACGCUCAGGCACGAAAGCGUGGGUAUCGAACAGGAUUAGAUACCCGAGUAGUC